UGAUGUUUAAUUAGUUAUAAAUGAGUGUUCUAAAGUUAGUGUGUGCAUCAACUGGUCGUUAGUUAGAAAGUCAUUUCGAUGGUUAAUGUAACGUUUCAAAUUUGAGCUUGUCCAUCCCGAUCGAGUUUGGGGUUUUACACUUCUAGGAAUAAGAUUACUCACGAGGCUGCAAGUGCAGGAGUAGUGGUUAGAAAUAACGAGGGACUGUUAUCAAGGUCGACGUGCUUUUGGAAGGAGCAAAUACCUUGUCCUCUAUCAGCGGAGGCCCUGGCUUUUGCGCAGGCUAUCCGCUUUGCCCGAGAUCUAGGCUUUCGCUGGGUUGAAACCGAAGGCAACUCUGCGGUGCUUCUCUAAGCUACGGAAUUCGGCCACUGAUCGUUUGCCCGAUAGCGCAUUUGUCUGGGACGCAAAAAGGCUGGUGGUGGGCUUUGAACGAUUUAAAUGUCAACAUAUUAAGUGGGGAGGCUAUGUGGUGGGUCACAUGUUGGAGUGCAAAGGCCAUAUUCGAAAGCGAGAUGUCUUUUGGAUGUCGGCUGUGGAUGUUGGUCGUCGGGGACAUCUUUGAUCUUGAAGGUGAGCUCUCGGAUGGAGUUUUUUCUGGCCAGAUCUAUAUUUCUCGAUGGCAGGUUGUUGUGGCUUCAUCAUGUUCGUUGCUUGGUGUCAGAUCCAGUCGAUGCUGCUGCUCUUAUCGGACAUGCAUGCGUAGCUGGGAAAGACAAUGACUCUUUAGCUACUUCUGUUCUCUGUUCCCUUUUUUUUUUCUUUUUUUUUGUGAUACUUUUAUGGCUCUUGGUUGUUUUGCUGGUUUGCUGGUUGUUAUUUUCUUUUGAUUUGUGGGGGAUGGGAUCGCAUUAAUGGGCGAAGCUCCCUAUGUGUUUUGUUUUGUCUCUUUAAAUUAAAGCACGCCUCUUUAUUCAAUAAAAAUAUAA